rnacentral:rRNA from 1 species
GACGAACGCUGGUGGCAGGCCUAACACAUGCAAGUCGAGCGGAGCUGCGGACGGGCGAGUAAUGCCUAGGAAUCUGCCUGGUAGUGGGGGAUAACGUCCGGAAACGGGCGCUAAUAUCGCAUACUAUCAGAUGAGCCUAGGUGGGAUUCGCUAGUUGGUGGGGUAAAGGCCUACCUAGGCGACGAUCCGGAACUGGUCUGAGCGGAUGAUCAGUCAAACUGGAACUGAGACACGGUCCUGAGUCCUACGGGCGGAAGCAGUGGGGAAUAUUGGACAAGGGGCGAAAGCGUGAUCCAGCCAUGCAGCGUGUGUGAAGAAGGGCUUCGGAUUGUAAAGCACUUUAAGUUGGGAGGCGUUACCAACAGAAUAAGCACCGGCUAACUUCGUGCCAGCAGCCGCGGUAAUAC